rnacentral:rRNA from 1 species
AUCCAGCCGGACCCGACUGCCAUCAGAGUGAGAUUAAGCCAUGCGAGUUAACGUAGCAAUACGUGGCGCACGGCUCAGUAACACGUAGUCAACAUGCCCAGAGGACGUGGAUAACCUCGGGAAACUGAGUCUAAACCGCGAUAAGUGAGGAUUUCUGGAAUGGUUCCUGACUAAAAUCUAUAUGGCCUCUGGAUUGGACUGCGGCCGAUCAGGCUGUUGGUGAGGUAAUGGCCCACCAAACCUGUAACCGGUACGGGCUCUGAGAGGAGGAGCCCGGAGAUGGGCACUGAGACAAGGGCCCAGGCCCUAUGGGGCGCAGCAGGCGCGAAACCUCUGCAAUAGGCGAAAGCCUGACAGGGUUACUCUGAGUGACUUUCGCUAAGAAAGUCUUUUGGCACCUCUAAAAAGGGUGCAGAAUAAGGGGUGGGCAAGUCUGGUGUCAGCCGCCGCGGUAAUACCAGCACCCCGAGUGGUCGGGACGAUUAUUGGGCCUAAAGCAUCCGUAGCCGGUCCUGCAAGUCCCCCGUUAAAUCCAGCUGCUCAACAGAUGGGCCGCGGAGGAUACUACAGAGCUAGGAGGCAGGAGAGGCAAGCGGUACUCAGUGGGUAGGGGUAAAAUCCGUUGAUCCAUUGAAGACCACCAGUGGCGAAGGCGGCUUGCCAGAAUGCGCUCGACGGUGAGGGAUGAAAGCUGGGGGAGCAAACCGGAUUAGAUACCCGGGUAGUCCCAGCCGUAAACGAUGCAGACUCGGUGAUGGGUUGGCUUCGCGCUAACCCAGUGCCGCAGGGAAGCCGUUAAGUCUGCCGCCUGGGUAGUACGGUCGCAAGACUGAAACUUAAAGGAAUUGGCGGGGGAGCACCACAAGGGGUGAAGCCUGCGGUUCAAUUGGACUCAACGCCGGUA